CAAUAGCGUAUAUUAAAGUUGUUGCAGUUAAAAAGCUCGUAGUUGGAUUUCUGGUGGGAGCGAUCGGUCUGGCGCUUAGCGCGAGUACUUGCAUCGUCUCCGGCCAUCCUUGGGGAGAGUCUGUCUGGCAUUAGGUUGUCGGGCAGAGGAUCCUCAUCGUUUACUGUGAAAAAAUUAGAGUGUUCAAAGCAGGCUUAUGCCGUUGAAUAUAUUAGCAUGGAAUAAUAAGAUAGGACUUUGGUACUAUUUUGUUGGUUUGCGCACCAAAGUAAUGAUUAAUAGGGACAGUUGGGGGUAUUUGUAUUCCGUUGUCAGAGGUGAAAUUCUUGGAUUUACGGAAGACGAACUACUGCGAAAGCAUUUACCAAGGAUGUUUUCAUUAA
rnacentral:rRNA from 1 species